CAUAAAAUGAUUCUGCUUUUCAUUAAAAAUAGGGAGGGAUGAGAGAAUUUAGAAAGGAUGGGAGGAAAAAAGGUUAUUAAUUAAUUAAAAAAGGUUAAUCAUAAUUAAUAAUUAAAGCUAAGAAAAUGUAAACUAUAUAAAGGAUUUUUUCCCUCCCAUAUAUUAAAACUUCUGAAGUCAUUAGAAGUGAAAUAACCCCAGACAAGAUGUAUGUAUGUAUAGGCAGCUGGAAGGUCCAGAAUAUUAAUAAUAUUAUUAAGGCUUGUCUGGAACAUAAAUUGCAUCCUUCAUAGCACAGGAGUUGGGAAUUUGGGAAUCAGAUUUUCAGUGGAAAAUUUUCUUCUUUCACUGCCAACUUUUCACUGCAGACUUUUGACUGAUCAAGUUAGUGCCAGCAGAAAAACCACUCUGCAUGGGUGUCUCUUACUUUGCAAGUGUGUCACAGCGAGAGCACAGCAGCUUGUCCAGUAUAUUCUCUGUGAGUAAACUAAAAAUGACACCUGGGUGACCCAGGCAGAAGACCUGCACUCAAAACCUCUGACUUACUGUCUGUGGAUGAACUCUCCAUAACUGAAGGAUGCUUUCUGGAUGACUACAGCUGGAGUGGUAGGAGAUUUUGGGUUACUACAUUAUAAUAAUUCUAACUGCUGCUGCUAUGUACUUUGAAUGUUCUUGAAUUCCAGUGCAUGCAAGGAUUCUUCCAGAUGAUAUUGAUGUGGGUGAGUGAGGGUGGAGAAUAACCCAGAAAUCAUAUUAGUUAUGAUGGAUUUCUUGCUCUGAAAAAGCUUUAAAUCUCUGAGAUACCUUUUAUAUAUAGACAGUCUUAAAAGUAAUCUCUACUAUUUGAAUAAUGCGGUGUGUUAUAGGUGAUAGAACAUAAAAAUUAAAUCUUAACAUUAAAGUUAAAUCUUCAGUGAUACACAUCAGAAAUACUAGCUAAUGUGAGCCACAUUAAACUCCAUUAUUCUUGGUCUCAUUUUAAAAGAAAGAGGGAAAACUAGACUUUUUGUUUCUGGAUUUUUCCUAAUAGUUCUAGGUAAUUGUAUACUAUUGAGGAACUUAAACAUACCUGAAUUUUUGUCCGGCUGUGUUUGGCUCAUCUUUCAGUCUGUAUUCUCCAGAAGCAGUUGCUUUCAAUAUAUCAGAUUUUAUUUUGGCAGAUACAGUGUUACAGUUUGU
rnacentral:lncRNA from 1 species